GACGAACGCUGGCGGCGUGCUUAACACAUGCAAGUCGAACGGAAAGGCCCUGCUUUUGUGUGGUGCUCGAGUGGCGAACGGGUGAGUAACACGUGAGUAACCUUCCCUUGACUUUGGGAUAACUUCAGGAAACUGGGGCUAAUACCGGAUAGGAGCGCCUGCUGCAUGGUGGGGGUUGGAAAGUUUCGGCGGUGGGGGAUGGACUCGGGGCUUAUCAGCUUGUUGGGGGGGGAGUGGCUUACCAAGGGUUUGACGGGUAGCCGGCCUGAGAGGGUGACCGGUCACAUUGGGACUGAGAUACGGCCCAGACUCCUACGGGAGGCAGCAGUGGGGAAUCUUGCACAAUGGGCGGAAGCCUGAUGCAGCAACGCCGCGUGCGGGAUGAAGGCCUUCGGGUUGUAAACCGCUUUCGCCUGUGACGAAGCGUGAGUGACGGUAAUGGGUAAAGAAGCACCGGCUAACUACGUG
rnacentral:rRNA from 1 species